UACGAAGGGGGCUAGCGUUGUUCGGAAUUACUGGGCGUAAAGCGCACGUAGGCGGAUUGGUCAGUUAGGGGUGAAAUCCCAGGGCUCAACCCUGGAACUGCCUUUAAUACUGCCAAUCUAGAGUCCGAGAGAGGUGAGUGGAAUUCCGAGUGUAGAGGUGAAAUUCGUAGAUAUUCGGAGGAACACCAGUGGCGAAGGCGGCUCACUGGCUCGGUACUGACGCUGAGGUGCGAAAGCGUGGGGAGCAAACAGGG
rnacentral:rRNA from 1 species